UACGUAGGGUGCGGACGCGAUUGAAUGAUCUGGGCGUAAAGCGUGCGCAGGCGGUUCUAUAAGACAGAUGUGAAAUCCCCGGGCUCAACCUGGGAACUGCAUUUGUGACUGUAGAGCUGGAGUGCGGCAGAGGGGGAUGGAAUUCCGCGUGUAGCAGUGAAAUGCGUAGAUAUGCGGAGGAACACCGAUGGCGAAGGCAAUCCCCUGGGCCUGCACUGACGCUCAUGCACGAAAGCGUGGGGAGCAAACAGG
rnacentral:rRNA from 1 species